rnacentral:rRNA from 1 species
UACGUAGGGUGCGAGCGUUGUCCGGAUUUAUUGGGCGUAAAGAGCUUGUAGGCGGCUCGUCGCGUCGGGGUGUGAAAACUUGCGGCUUAACCGCAAGCCUGCACCCGAUACGGGCGGGCUAGAGUUCGGCAGGGGAGACUGGAAUUCCUGGUGUAGCGGUGGAAUGCGCAGAUAUCAGGAGGAACACCGGUGGCGAAGGCGGGUCUCUGGGCCGAUACUGACGCUGAGAAGCGAAAGCGUGGGGAGCGAACAGG